rnacentral:lncRNA from 1 species
GCGGUUCGGGGCGACGGACUCUCCAUUCCAGAACCAUGGCCCAAUUUGUCCGUAACCUUGUGGAGAAGACCCCGGCGCUGCUGCUGUGACUUACUCGAAGCCUCGAUUGGCCACAUUUUGGUACUACGCCAAGGUUGAGCUGGUUCCUCCCACCCCUGCUGAGAUCCCUAGAGCUAUUCAGAGCCUGAAAAAAAUAGUCAAUAGUGCUCAGACUGGUAGCUUCAAACAGCUCACAGUUAAGGAAGCUGUGCUGAAUGGUUUGGUGGCCACUGAGGUGUUGAUGUGGUUUUAUGUCGGAGAGAUUAUAGGCAAGCGGGGCAUCAUUGGCUAUGAUGUUUGAAGACCAAUCUUUAACAUCUGAUUAUAUUUGAUUUAUUAUUUGAGUGUUGUUGGACCAUGUGUGAUCAGACUGCUAUCUGAAUAAAAUAAGAUUUGUCAAAACUCAGUGUUUUCUCCAUCAGAUACUCCAUGAAAGGUCACAAUUUCUCUUGAUAUUAAGCUGGGUUGUCUUUAAACAACCCUAAAUACACGUCUGUUUAGCCCGCAAUUGGAAAGGAUAUAUGUGGCAAUAUUAACCUGGUACAUGAAUAUAUGGGGAUAACAUUUUAAUUUGAAGGUUUGGAAUAUAUAUAUUUAAGCUUUAUUUCCAGAACAGUGAGGGUUAGGUCUUGGGAAAACUAUAACUUGCCAAAGUAGAAGAAAUAGUAGUACCAUAUGCCAAAGUGAUAGAGAUGAAUCAUGUCAGUAGUUAGAAUAACAUUUCAACUGUUUUCUUUGCUAAAAUCACAGAAAGACCCUAUUGACAACAUCUAUGUCUGUAAAAAUGUUAGAGUACUUGUCAUCUUGAAUAUAGCCUCCCCAAGAGAGAACAGGGUGGUAUUCUAAGUAUGUUUCUUUGUAACAUCUUUAGCAGUAGGACAGAGCCAUACAUGUGAAAUCUGAUUUUUAUGUGUGUUAUUCGUUUGUCUGGUUUUACUACCUUUGCAAAAACAAAAUACCCCAAAGAUAUUUAAACAAGGUUAUAAUUUAGCAUCUUCCCUGGAUCUAAAUAGUAUAUUAUAUCCUGAAAUAAAUGAAAUGAUUG